GCGCAACAGAACUGCACUGACAGCUGCGAGCUGAGACCGCGACACCGACACGCGUGACGAGGAGCUUUUGGCUUUGUUUUUGAUUUAUUUUGAAACCAGACUGAACGCCAAACCAUGUGAAUUACAACGCAGUCAUCCACCUCAAGCGAAAUUCUCACGUGCAACGACGGGCCUCAAAUUACGGAUAAAAAGCUGCAGACUUGGCGAAUGGCUGCAUGUUUUUCACUCCAGACGGGCUGAUAUUCACACUGCAGCACGGUGUUUUGGCUUCAGGAGUUCAUGGGGUUAAUGAGAAACCGUGCUCACGUAAGCACAGGUGCGUCAUCUGUCUGAGUGAAGAGAUGGUCGCGAUAAACUCUUUCUUCAUAUCGCCAAAAGACAUGCGGUAACAUGUAAUCACAUUAAAAUGAGCACCCAGCCGAUCUGCGGUUUACAUGCGCCGUCUUGUUUACUAUGAUUAAGCAACAUAGCACACAGUUAAGUGAUAUAUCCAUGAACAACACAAUCACCAUUACAACGGCAGACUGUACCAGACAAAAAGAUUUGCGCCCCGCCACGAUCAUCUUACCUGUGAAUUAAUGACCUGUCUGUGUGGUGAAAAACAUGGAAUAAAACUUUGAAAUGCGCUA